AAAAAAAAAAAAAAAAAAAAAGGUCUACAAAGUGUCCACUGUACAAGUCAUACACAGCUCCAUUGGAGAGAAAACUGGAUGGAACCAUUUGGCUGAAAAUCCAUGUCCAAGGCCAACAAGAAAGAGCUGAGACACUGCAGAAAGUGCAGGAAUAAAUAAAAGGUGGAGACAGACAGAGACCAGACAAGGAGGACUCAAUUACAGACUGGUAGAAGACUCAAGGAAGAAAAUGAAGGUGUCAAGGAAGAGACCAGGUGGAGCUGGACCUGUGAAGAACUGUCAAAACAGCUGUAGAGGAAUUGUGUUGGAGGCAAUAAUGGCCCCUUUAGUAUCAGAGAAUAGAAAGAUCUUGAAAACAAAGCCUGUUGUCAGGAGACUUGCACCCAUCCUGGCCUACUUCCAAGUGUGAGUAAGCAAUGGUCAACACUGACUUCUUAAACUGCGUAAGCCGCUUGAUGCUUUAUGGAUAACAAUCAAGGCUGGUUGACUGAGUGACUCAACUUCCCCAGAGAAACAAAAACAGAAACGAAGAUAUCCAUGGCACCUAAUGUUAUAAGGAGAAGAAAGCACUUGUAAUCACAAGGGUACUGAGAAAAGGUGAAACUGAAAUCAUUCAUUCAAAAAGUGUUUACUGAGUAGCUUCAAAGAGCAAAUAUUAGGUUAGAUGCAAUGGGUGAUGUAAGAAUAUUCAGACAACUAUUUCUCAUGGACUUUGCUUACUGAGCCAUCAACACACUGGCCACCUUUUUCUAGAUGAAGUAUCCCAUCAUUUGAUUCUGGAUUGAGAACUCUUUGAGAGCAGAGACCAUGGCUUCACCUGAGUAUCCCCAGAGCCUGAUGUUAGACAAUGUUUUUCAGCUAUGCAUGAAAAAGUUAAUCAAAAAAUAAAAUGAAAGACUGUGAUGGCUAAUCGAAGUCCCAUAGAUUUCUACACCAGCCUGUCUUUGGGGAUGAACACCAAAAUGUUACCUUCAAAGCAUCAUUAGAGUGUGCUUUGGAAGGACAUCGUGUUAGGAGAAUUGCUGAAUCCUGGCCUAUCUUCUAUCUGGAUCCCUUGCCUAGACUGUAGAUCUGAAUGCCAACUACUAGAACCAACACUGGCUGCGGUUUUGUGCAUGUUUUUCCUGAAGAGCUGACAUGUUGUCUUAGUUCAUUUCAAAUUCCUUCUUUGACAACCCUACUGCAAACCAAAAACAAUGUGAUAAAAUUUGUACCUUUAGUACCUAUUAUUUAUUAACCUUGAUAAAAAUCACCGAGUUGUUUCUUUGUUCUUUGGGAGAAGGAAAAUGUAUGGAAGAGGGAUGGAAGAUGAAAGAGCCCUGAAAUCAUCUGGAAGGGUUGGUGGCGGUGGGGGUGGUAGUAGUGGCAGAGGUA